GGUGGCGGGGGGGGCUCGCGCCGCCCAACCGUCAUAACGUGCGGCCAACGGGCGCGGCGCGUGAGGAGCCCGGGGGGGGAGGGGGGGCAUGGUGCAGAGCGUAGCCGUUCUGCUCCUCGUCAGCGUGUUCCCAAGCCAAACAGCCCUAUCGUCGCGUUAAUUUGUUACGCGAAUGUGUAACCGGGCCUCGGGAAUGUGAGCCUGCCUGCCUGAGCUCGGCGGGGCUGGAGUGUGAGACAGGGAGUACUUGGACCUGCUAAACUUUGGUACUCCACGCAGCAGUGUGGUGUGGAAGCAUCCCUGCCUAAUAACAACCUUGAGACCAAAUCACAGUUUCAUAAAUAAAUCGCACUUUUCAUAACUCAGUUACAAACGUUGGAAAACUUGAACCUUUUCACAAAUGGGUAAACAAUGCAAGAGACUCAACCCAGCAGAAAAUAACCCUAAUCAUACUUAGCAUUUACAUAAAGCUCUCCAUCUCCAACACCUUCUGUGAGUAGGUGUUUAAUCUUCUGCCCUCUGAGCCAAUUUAGUAAUAACUACCUCUGCAAGGAAACAGGAUGAAGUUCUCACCGGUUAAAAACUUGCAAUUAAAGUACUACUAUUCUUCCUCCUAACCCAAGUAGGCUAUAGUUAAUAUAUGUAUAAUUAAACUCUAAUAAGAAAGUCAUUUUAUCUCAACAAGUCACAGCUUGAUUGAGAUUAAUAACAGUUUUCUUUUAUUUUUAAUCAAAGAAUUGUAAAAAUGUUGGGAUUGUCUGGGCACAGCCAUGGUGCAGGUCAGCAAAAGAUCAGGUUAUACUUUUAACUACAGUUUUCCUUCCUUCGUGACUUUAAAUUAGAACUUCCACAACAUUUUACUAUGUUCUAAUUUCAUCUGCAUUUUAAAGAUGGGUUUACAAAACAAAAGCAAGUGGUAACAAAUGUGAAGUACUUUUAACCACCUUCCUACCGAAUUACUGUCUCCACAGUCAUACUGACUGGCAUGCAUCUGUUUGAAAGCACGUGGUUUUCCACUGCACCACUGUGGUGUUCUGCUGUUCUGGAAGAAAAUCCAUCAGAAGUCAGUGUGAAGACCAGAGGCAUCUCACCGUCAUUUUUUUGGGCUGCCCACUUAAAGAUUGUGUUGCUACCAGGGCUUGACUAGCAUACGUCAACUCCUGUGAGCCUUGAAGCUGGUGCAGCAAAAUGGCAGCUGUUGCUAAUCCCCACAUGAGAGCUGGAAACCAAGAGGCAUUCCAGGGACCCUCUCUAAGGAAAUGAAAGUCCGAGUUUAAAAGAAGUUCGCUUGAAGCGAUUUAAACACUAGGAAAUAACCAAAUACAUUAGAAAUAACGCAAUACAAAUACUAAAUAUGCUGAGUGUACUUGGAUUAGAACAUUUCCAAACCCAGCAGAAAGAAAACACCGAAAACGUGUAGGUGCUGAAGUGCAGACGCACUAGCUGGUUGCCCUGCUGUCAGUGAUAGACCUCACACAAGUCCAGAUAUGAAGUGCUGAGGAUUUUGAGGUCCUAGCUCACCUGCAAGCACCUUCAGUGUCAGAACAGCACUGUUACAAGACAGAGGCACUCAGGAUCUGCUAACACAAGUAUGACAGGUACUCUGAGUAUGGAAGAGCCAUUUCGGAGACUGAGCAAGGCUGUUGCUACAGCCAGCAAACAAGUGUGUUUCAUUCCCACUGACGUCGCUGUGGAGAUGCAAGAGGAACACCAAAUUCUAAGACUUAUUGCAGUUUAUGGAAAAAAAUGGAGCUGGGAAUUUACAGCAGACCUGGCAAGAGUGAGUGGUGGUGUGGGAUAAACUGAAGGGAUUGUUCCUGGCAAACUCAAGGUACUACAAUAUGCUCAUUCUACAGUUGAAGCAUGGCAGAAGAGCAGUAACUUGCUUCAGGGCACACAUCAAGAAUGGGAUGGGCUCAAGUCAUUCCAACUGUCACAGUGAAUGCUGCUUCAUUCUUCACAGCACAAAGCCUUCUACGCAUUCUCCACAACUUACACAAGGAAAAAAAAAAAAAAAGAGAGAGAGACACCUAGAUACAACUAGAGAAUCCAAAGCAUCUAAGCUACCUUUGGAGCAGGAGGGCUGAUAGAAACUAAAAGGAAGUAGUGUUUUUUUUGUUUGUUUGUUUUGUUUUGUUGUUUUUUAACUAAGCAUAGAUUUAAUAUAAUGAAUAAGCUAGGAAAAACUUAUUAAAAUACAGAAUGAUCCAGUG